AACGGCCAUACCAUGCUGAAUAUACCGGUUCUCGUUAGAUCACCGAAGUCAAGCAUCAUUGGGCGCGGUCAGUACUUGGGUGGGUGACCACCUGGGAAUACCGUGUGCCGUU
rnacentral:rRNA from 1 species